GAUGAACGCUGGCGGCGUGCCUAAUACAUGCAAGUCGAGCGAACGGAGGAGAAACCUGCUUCUCUGGUGUUAGCGGCGGACGGGUGUGUAACACGUGGAUAACCUUCCUAUAAGAAUGGGGUAACUUAGUGAAACCGGUGCUUAUACCGGCUAAAAUUCUGAACCGCAUGGUUGAAAAGUGAAAGACGGUCUUGCUGUCACUUAUAGAUGGAUCCGCGCCGCAUUAGCUAGUUGGUAAGGUAACGGCUUACCAAGGCCACGAUGCAUAGCCGACCUGAGAGGGUGAUCAGCCACACUGGAACUGAGACACGGUCCAGACUCCUACGGGAGGCAGCAGUAGGGAAUCUUGCACAAUGGGCGAAAGCCUGACGGAGCAACGCCGCGUGAAUGAUGAAGGCCUUCGGAUCGUAAAGCUCUGUUAUUAGGGAAGAACAGAUGUGUGAGUAACUGUGCACAUAUUGACGGUACCUACUCAGGAAGCCACGGCUAACUACGUG
rnacentral:rRNA from 1 species